UUCUCACAAGCUCAUCUGGAUUCCGCUAACUAAAUUUGAUAUGAAAGGAUUCUUAAUUGUGCAUUUAAUGUUUGUAAUUAUUUUAAUCAUUCAUAGCCCUACUGCUUGUCCUAAGAAAUGCCAAUACUUGUUUUCAAGGUGCUGCGCACCUCGAUAAUUAAUAUAAUUUUUAAUUAAAUAUUAAAAAUAUAUAUAUUUAAAUUUUCAAUUAAGGUUAUUUGCUGAAAUAAAUAAAAUAUCAAGAUAAAUGUUAUUUACAACAAAUAACGAAUUCGUACAAAUUUAGAAACAUACAAUGUAUUUUGGGUUACAUUUUGCAGUGCUUUUUAAAAUAUGCUAACAUUGUUAAAAAAUAAGCAUAAAUUAAAAAAGAUGACAUUUUAAUUCUUCAAAGUUUUGUGUUUAAUUUAAUAAUAAAAUUCUAUAUUUUAAUAUA